rnacentral:rRNA from 1 species
AUGGUAGGAUAGAGGCCUACCAUGGUGGUAACGGGUAACGGGGUGUUAGGGCACGGCACCGGAGAGGGAGCCUGAGAAACGGCUACCACAUCCAAGGAUGGCAGCAGGCGCGCAAAUUACCCAAUCCCGACACGGGGAGGUAGUGACAAUAAAUAACAAUACGGGGUUCUUUAGGAUCUCGUAAUUGGAAUGAGUACAAUUUAAAUCUCUUAACGAGGAACAAUUGGAGGGCAAGUCUGGUGCCAGCAGCCGCGGUAAUUCCAGCUCCAAUAGCGUAUAUUAAAGUUGUUGCAGUUAAAAAGCUCGUAGUUGAAUUUCGGGGUCAGUAGGUCGGUCGUGCCACUGGUAUGAACUGGUUUUACUGAUUCCUCCCUCUUGAAGAACUGUAAUGCCAUUAAUUUGGUGUUGCAGGGAAUCAGGACUGUUACUUUGAAAAAAUUAGAGUGUUUAAAGCAGGCUUUAGCUUGAAUACAUUAGCAUGGAAUAAUGAAAUAGGACGUUUGAUCCUAUUUUGUUGGUUUCUAGGAUUGACGUAAUGAUUAAUAGGGGUAGUUGGGGGCAUUAGUAUUCAAUUGUCAGAGGUGAAAUUCUUGGAUUUAUUGAAGACUAACUACUGCGAAAGCAUUUGCCAAGGAUGUUUUCAUUAAUCAAGAACGAAAGUUAGGGGAUCGAAGACGAUCAGAUACCGUCGUAGUCUUAACCAUAGACUAUGCCGACUAGGGAUCGGAUGAUGUUAAUUUUUUAAUGACUCAUUCGGCGCCUUACGGGAAACCAAAGUGUUUGGG